rnacentral:piRNA from 1 species
UAAAAUGAGUUGAGGGUAGAGCUCUGAUA